rnacentral:rRNA from 1 species
GAUGAAUGCUGGCGGCGUGCCUAAUACAUGCAAGUCGAGCGAACAGACGAGGAGCUUGCUCCUCUGACGUUAGCGGCGGACGGGUGAGUAACACGUGGAUAACCUACCUAUAAGACUGGGAUAACUUCGGGAAACCGGAGCUAAUACCGGAUAAUAUAUUGAACCGCAUGGUUCAAUAGUGAAAGACGGUUUUGCUGUCACUUAUAGAUGGAUCCGCGCCGCAUUAGCUAGUUGGUAAGGUAACGGCUUACCAAGGCGACGAUGCGUAGCCGACCUGAGAGGGUGAUCGGCCACACUGGAACUGAGACACGGUCCAGACUCCUACGGGAGGCAGCAGUAGGGAAUCUUCCGCAAUAGGCGAAAGCCUGACGGAGCAACGCCGCGUGAGUGAUGAAGGUCUUCGGAUCGUAAAACUCUGUUAUUAGGGAAGAACAAAUGUGUAAGUAACUAUGCACGUCUUGACGGUACCUAAUCAGAAAGCCACGGCUAACUACGUG